AAAGCGGCUCCGGCGACUGCCGCGCCUCAGCCCCCGCCCCACCGCGGCACCCCCGAGAGGGGCACUGCCGCCCUCGACGCGGGGUUGCGAGAGGCGGGAAGGGAUUCGCGGGAAGGAAUUCGCGGGAAGGGUCUGUGGAGGAGCGUGGCGGCCCGGUCCUGAGGGAGGGCGUGUGUGAGUGAUGGUGCGGGUUGUGCGCUCCAAGGCUGGGCUACUCAACAGAGGGAGAAAGGCUGAAGAGACAAAGUGACACGAGGAGAAACGUAAGGCAAUGGAGGCAGUUGGAGACUGUAUUGCUUUAAGGUUUACAACAGCAGUGUGUGAAGAAGUAGGCUGUGAGGAGUCUUCCGUCUUGUCCCAUGUCUGACUACUAUCAUGGAAUUUGAACAUGGAGAGGAAACUGGCCGGAAUGCAGGCACAAGUUGCAGAGGACUGGUAAACACUUUAACAAACACAAAUGGGUAAAAACAUCUGUUCCCUGGGGAAAGAAGGACUGCAGAAAUAACAAGUGAACUUACUUGUGUUUGUGACAGUAUUUUUCAAGAGGCUUUUGUUUCAAACUUGAGGAAACGCUCCUCAACUACUGAAAACUGUUCCAUGGCCUAAGUAUAUAAUUAUCAGGAAGUUCUGGGCCCCGUGUUUGUGCUUUAUCAUAUGCAGUACUUCAGUUAUUAAAUGUCUCAUAAGCUUCUGUGAGCCUGAAGUCAGCAGGGCUUCUCUGAUUUAUACCACCUGAGGAUCCAGCCUCAGCAGAGACUACAGCUUUAUUUGAAUUCUGACUGCGUUGCCCUGUAUUUUUAGGGGGAUGCAAUAGUGUGGGGGUUUGGCAUGCUGGCCGGUCAACUGUUGCUCUGCAGAGUGGUAUUAGCAUUUUAUCACCUUUAACUUCACCCUUCUGCACCCAAACCUUCCACUCCAAUCAUCUUUGGAGCUGUUUCUCUUAGAUUAAUUGCUUACUCUUUUGGUGACUCAGUGUGUCAUUGUAUCCAAGUCAAUGUUAGUAUAGAGAGGCUUUUUAACCUUUACAUCCAAUCGUUUGCUCUUGGCCAUCUCUUCCAGUUGUUACUCUUGGGCAAUUUUGUACACUUCAUCUAUCAAAUGCUCAGGAUUCAACUCCACUGUGGACGUACUACUGUGCUCACACUAUGUGGAAUGGGUCUGUUCCCAUCUUGAAGCAGUGUUUCAGCAUAUAAAAAGGAGAUUUCCACU
rnacentral:lncRNA from 7 species